AAAGUUCAGGAAAAUGCUGCCACAGUUGGAUGGGGCAGUGGGAAUCCUGCCAAUAUCAAAUGUAAAACAGGCAAAGGAAAGGAGCCUCUUUUUGCCCUUCAUCCGCCCUUACUCCAUGCCAGGGAGGAGAAACUGAAUCAGGGGGAACACAGAAUGAAGACCAAGAGGGUGGACCUUGGUGCACAUCCCCUUCCUCCUGUGGCUCCUUGAGCUCUCUCAUCCAACAGUGCUGAAAAUGGCCCCUCCUGGGUUGCGUUUGGGCCAGGAACCUCAGCUGGAUAGAUAAAAUGUCAAGGGUUCUGUGUCUACAGAUCAUAAAAUGGCCAAAGAGGCCUGGAAAAUGUCUGCUCCUGUGCCGUGGGACAACACACAUUUAAGGAAAACACAUCCACUCUUCCAGCCAGCAGUGCAGCCUGGCAGGGAUCAUAAGCCUAUAAGUUCUCCUCCUUUAUUUUGGGUCCAUCACAGAGAAGAAGCCUGCUGCUGAGCUGACUGGCACACACGGAGCCCUUAUCUGCCAGGGCGCGAAACUAGUCUGCUGAAUGAGGGCACAGGCUAUAAUGAGUAUCUGAGUUGAGCCACAUCACCAGUAUCAGCAGAAAGCAGGUGCACCGGGCCAGGUCAGCAUGUGAUGGAGAAGGGACCUGUGGACCCAGGCCUUCGUGGUGCUAAAUUCACCUCAGUCGAAAGGUCUCCUCAUGCUUCUCUGCCUGGUGAUGCCAGCCUCAAUGAAGACCUCCACGGACCUUCAUCAGGGUGGACACCGAGUCCAUCAACAGCAUUGGGAAAUGCACUGAAAUGAGUUUCUUGGAGCCCAAGCUCCUUGACCACCGGAGUGGAGACCCCUGCCCCUCUGCGGGACCCAC